AUAUAUUUCAUACAGGUUAUGUCUAUCGUCACUCACAUAUGCACAUACAGGCUUGUGUUGAAUAUGGUC
rfam:Arabidopsis thaliana chromosome 3, complete sequence.